rnacentral:tRNA from 1 species
GGCGUGGCGCAGAGGCAGGCGCACCGCCUUGCCAAGGCGAGACACAUCGGUUCGCAUCCGAUCCCCGCGCCG